rnacentral:rRNA from 1 species
GACGAACGCUGGCGGCGUGCUUAACACAUGCAAGUCGAACGGAAAGGCCUGCUUUCCCUUGUGGAUUGCGGGUACUCGAGUGGCGAACGGGUGAGUAACACGUGAGUGAUCUGCCCCCAACUUGGGUAUAAGCCUGGGAAACUGGGUCUAAUUCCCGAUAGGACUGCAGGGUGGUGCCUGUGGUGGAAAACGAUUUUCUAGUGGUUGGGGAUGAGCUCGCGGCCUAUCAGCUUGUUGGUGGGGUAAUGGCCUACCAAGGCGGCGACGGGUAGCCGGCCUGGGAGGGUGGACGGCCACAUUGGGACUGAGAUACGGCCCAGACGCGUACGGGAGGCAGCAGUGGGGAAUAUUGCACAAUGGGCGGAAGCCUGAUGCAGCGACGCCGCGUGGGGGAUGACGGCCUUCGGGUUGUAAACUCCUUUCGACCGCGAGGAAGCCACCUGGUUGGAAGGGUGGUGACGGUAGUGGUAGAAGAAGCACCGGCUAACUACGUG